AUUGAACGCUGGCGGCAGGCCUAACACAUGCAAGUCGAACGAUUGGCGGACGGGUGAGUAAUGUCUGGGAAACUGCCUGAUGGCGGGGGAUAACUACUGGAAACGGUAGCUAAUACCGCAUACCAUCAGAUGAACCCAUAUUGGAUUAGCUUGUAGGUGAGGUAACGGCUCACCUAGGCGACGAUCCCUAGCUGGUCUGAGAGGAUGAUCAGCCAAACUGGGACGGAGACACGGCCCAGACUCCGAGGGGAGGCAGCAGUGGGGAAUAUUGCAGAAUGGGCGCAAGCCUGAUGCAGCCAUGCCGCGUGUAGGAAGAAGGCCCUAGGGUUGUAAAGUACUUUCAGUCGGGAGGCGUUACCGACAGAAGAAGCACCGGCUAACUCCGUGCCAGCAGCCGCGGUAAUUC
rnacentral:rRNA from 1 species